AUUGCAGCGAAUAUAACUGUGUCAAGUGUACAACAAGCCUUUCUACAGAACUCAAUGCUGCAAGAUCAAACUUGAGUGCAGGACAGCAGUCCCUAUCCCGGCUAUUAUUAUAGUCACGUGGCAAAGGAUCCGUUUC
rnacentral:snoRNA from 1 species